rnacentral:lncRNA from 10 species
GACCACGCCCCGCCGCGGCCAGCGUCGCCCGCCUAGAGCCCGGUGGCCAGCGGCCGGCCGCGGGGCCGUUUUGUCCUGAGGGCCAGAGAAAGGGAGAAGGGGGUGGGGGGACAGCCACGUGGCCGCAGGAGGAUUUACAACAUUUUCUUUCGCCAUCGACGAUAUCGCAAAAUGUGUGAGAGUGGCGGCGGCGCAGCCCGGACCGGAGCGUGAGGGCGCGGGCCAGGUAAGCAGCCCCGGCAGUUUCGCCGCGGACGGGACCCGGGGGCGACCGCGGGCACCGGCCACGCGCAGCGGCUCCGCGGGAUCUCGGCCGGGUCCGCGCUCUGAAGGGUCUCGAGAGCCAUGGGUGGUGCAGGUGGGGCCCUCGAGCCGAAGCAUCUCCGGUGACCCGGGGUUGCCGAGGAGGUGUAGACCAGCACAAGUGGUCCGGCGGGGGCGCCUCCGAAUCCGGGGGUGGUCAAGACGGAUCCCCAAGGCUGAGGUCGGCAGUCCCGGGGACUCGCAGCUGCUGAGCCUGUGGAGACGCGGACCCGUGACCGAGGCACCCUCCAGCAACCCAGGGGCAGUGAAUCCUCCCUCCCCUGGCUCCAUCGGACCCGUGUGCCUGACACCUUUCCUGGGGCAGAUGAAGCCCUUGCAGAUGCCUAACAAAGCUUUUCUUCAGUCUCGCACACCCCCCACUGCCCCACUUCAGGAGCUUCGAGUGGCCGCCACGCACAGCUAGAGAGACAGUCAACUUGCUUUAUUCAGGCUCUGGCGAGGACAGAAUAAGAGCAGCCUCCCCACCCACCCACCUGGCCAGCAAGCCUGCUGCCUGGAAUGGCUGUAAAAAAUUAAUUUACAAUGAUUGACUCCCUUUUGUUCUGUGGGGAUCUGCAUUUUAAAUAUGUAUUUAGAUCAGAUUCACAAUUCACAGUUAAACCUCAACUGCCUCCCCCAACCCAGCAGAAAGAGUACAGGAUUCAGAAUCAGGUGAACAGAAGGUCAGGCCGAGUUCUGCUAAUGAUGAGCUGUGUGGCCUUGGGCAAAUUACUUAAGCUCUCUGCACCUCCACUGGCUUCUUUGAAAACUGAGGUUAAGGAUAAUCCCUCCCUCACAGAGUGCUGCGAGGAUUAAAUUAGAUAAAUUCAGGAAGACCUGUGCAGUGCCAGACCUGUGUUUUCUUUUCCCUGUACUGGCUGUCCUCCUAAUUAGCCUGGUGACCCUGGGCAGGCCACUCAGCCACCCCUGGCCUCAAUGUCCUCAUCUGUAAAGGCUGGGGGUGGGGAUUGUGGUAGGAGAUGAAGGCACAAAUACCGCCCCCCAGCCCCUUCCACACCCCCACCUCCUCCUGCCCUCUCCCCACCAGAGACGAUACUGUCCCCCGCCUCAACCACUUCUUGUUAUCUGAGCUCUGGGUUUUAAUUGGCGAUGGCCCCUCCCCAGCUGCCUCUCCUCGCAGCUCCCUGUGAAGUCUCAGGCUUGCAGCCCUGAGGGGCCUGCAGUUCCUGGCUCAUUUUCAGGGGCAAUUAGCUGUGAUGUCACAAGCCUAGGUGGUGGCCUCCGUGGGGCAGAUGCUUAGCCAGGCCACCAGGAGGCCAGGACCCUGCUCCAUCUGUGACCUGCGGGGCUCCCCCAGGCUCCAGGGGUCCCCAUUGCCAGUCGCAGGGAGGCAGGGCUCCCAGGCAAAGCCAUUUCCAUUUCUGCACUUGAUGGCUCCUUGAAGCCCAGUCUGCGUGUAAAUGAGUUCUACCCUGUGCUUUUGUUGGCAACUGUCGGCUCCCUGGAAGCAAGGGGCUUUGUCAGGAAGAACAAAGCUGUGUGGUGUUUUUCUGAUUUGGGGGGAAGCAUUCUCUUGGGGGAGAGCUCAGCGCUUCUCAGUGUCGGUCUCCAGCCCUGAUUCUCAGACUUGGUGGUUUUGUUUUGGGUUUUUAAGUCCUAUGGCUUAAGAGUCACAUAUGUUUGUGUGUGUGUUGGCUGAGGGUUUUUUUUUUUCUUUUUUUCCUCCUUUUUGGCUUACAUAGCGUUCCAGAGACUGAACUUCUCAAAUCACUGCUUCAACGGCUUUUAAAAUCUGGACCUAGUUACUCCUGUCAUCCAUGUGUAAAGAUUUAGAAAAAAAUCCCAAACCCAAGGGUGGGCAGCCGCGAGGAUGUACAGCUCCUGGCACUGUGCGCUCACCGGAGACCUGAGGUCAAAGCCCAAAACGCUGAGCACCUCCUGGGAGGUGGGAGCACGGUCUGCUCAGUGCCAGACAUCUGGAUAUUGAGAAAACAUCUGGGUAGCUGGGGUUUUCAGGUUUCUGCCUGACAUUUAAUAUCACAAACAUUGAGCCUGCUCCUGUCCCCCGCCAGCCACGCGGCUUCUCCUCCCAAACACUCCCAGCCUCUUCCCCUGCCUUCCUGAUGGGUAAGAAACAUCCAUUCUUUCCAAUUCCCCAGCGUUUUCCCCCUACCGGAAAUCUGAUGGGCUUAUGACAUCAUGGCUGGCUGCUGAGCGAUGAAGUGGAUGCCACAAAGAAAUCCGACAUAUCAGAUAGAUUCUGAAACCGGUUUCCCUCCAGCUGUAGUAACAGGCGUGAAGUCAGGAGAAUUUGAGCUUUGUUUAAAAAAAAAAAAAAAAACCAUAACAAAGUCUUGCCCUGUAUUAAAUGCAAUUUUCUUAAAAACAAGCAAACCUUUUGGACAUCAUUUUAUUUUAAUAGAAAUGCUGAGUUUUAUGAAACUAAAGUGGCUAAUAAAUCAGACCUGAAGCUUUGUGUGAGCAUUCCGUUUCUGUUGAGUGUUUGUGUCCUUAUUCACUAAUAAAAGAGGAGCUAGGAAUGGUUUAUCUCUCUUCAUUAUUCAAAUGAGAUAGCUUUUUUAUUUUUUUAGGCCAAUAAAAUUCACAGGGUAAAUUGCUGGUUUAUGUUUUUCCAGGAAUCCAUUUUUAUGAAGCGACCCUGGACCUCACCGGUCUGCAGACACUAUAUUCCCCUUGGCUGGUUUUCCUGGCUGUGAAGCCCUUAAGAGAAUGCAGUAAAGGUUUUCAGUCUCCUAGCUGGGCUCAGGGGAUGACCGGCUGUCAGCAGGGCGGGACCAGGACUGGUGGGCCAGGCACUUCUUGGGAUGAGAAACCUCUUUGAAAGGAGAGAGUCAAGAGAGGAACAGAAGUAAAGGGACCUGGGGGCCAGGCGCGGUGGCUCAUGCCUAUAAUCCCAGCAAUUUGGGAGGCCAAG